rnacentral:rRNA from 1 species
UACGGAGGGUGCAAGCGUUAUCCGGAUUUACUGGGUUUAAAGGGUGCGUAGGUGGGCAGGAAAGUCAGUGGUGAAAUCUUCCGGGCUUAACCCGGAAACUGCCAUUGAUACUAUUUGUCUUGAAUACUUUGGAGGUAAGCGGAAUAUGUCAGUGUAGCGGUGAAAUGCUUAGAUAAUGACAUAGAACACCAAUUGCGCAGGCAGCUUACUACACAGUAAUUGACACU